rnacentral:tRNA from 1 species
GUCCCGAUAGGGUAGUGGACCAUCCUAUUGGCUUGCGGAGCCAGUGACCGGAGUUCAAAUCUCCGUCGGGACG